rnacentral:lncRNA from 1 species
GCGUUCGGCAUUAUAAAUCUGAGAUGCGAGCUAGCAAAUGGCGAGCUUGAAUCACAUGAUCUUUGAGCAAUCCGAGCACCGAUAUUAAUUCCGAACGAUACAGAGCAUAGAACUGUCAGAGUUAUGUAAAACUGUUAGUUAAGCGGAUACUUUUGAAGAUCUGCUUGUAAAAAUUCAUAGCAUUGAAGAAAAUAAUACACAUGUUGGACACAAACUACUCCCGUUAGAAAAACAAUUAAUGAUUACCAUUUGGUGCUUAGCAAAUAUUGAAUCUUUCCGAUCAGUAGCCGAUCGUUUUGAUUUUAGCAAAAGUACUUGUUGGGACGUACUAUACAGAACUUGUAAAAAUAUAUUACAAGUUAACAGAUAUAAAAUUAUAUCAUGGCCAAAUAGAGAACGUGCUCUAAGAAUAAUGAGACAAUUUCAAGAAAUUAAUGGCUUUCCUAGUAAAUAUUAUAAAUCUUUUAUUAUCUCAAUUUCAAAUUUUUUAAUCUUUUUUUUUAGGUAAUUAUUCGAAGCCAUAGAUGGAUGUCAUAUUCGUAUAUUAAAACCAAAAAUAAUCCAAAUUCUUAUUGUAACAGAAAAAAUUAUCAUUCUAUUCUUUUACAAGGUGUAUGUGACAACAACAAAUUAUUUCUAAAUAUUUAUACUGGAGAGCUAGGAUCUAUUCACAACAUGAGAUUAUUUAGAAAAUCUGAUUUGUAUGAAAGAAUAAAAAACUCAUUAAUUGAUUUUCCUGAAGAUAGCCAUCUAGUAGGAGAUCUGGCUUAUAAGUUAUCUUCAUAUUUAUUAGUUGGCUUUAAAAAUGUUGGUAGAUUAACUAAUAGAGAGAAAAAUUUUAAUCAUAAAUUAUCACAAUGUCGUGUAGUAAUAGAGAAUGCAUUCGGAUAUCUUAAGGGACGUUUCAGACGCUUAAAAUAUCUUGAGACUAUUAAACUUGAUCUAAUUUGUUUACUAAUUAUUUCUGCAUGUAUUAUGCAUAAUAUUUGUAUUUUAAAAAAAGACUUGCCUGAAGAAUUUAUAGAUGAAAUAGAAUUGAGAAACGCAAGAGAAGAUAAUGAGUUUCUGGCAAACAUUAAUGAAGAUCAAGGACAUGACGAAGCUUUAUUAAAAAGGAGAGAAAUUAUGAAUGUUUUUUCUAUUCAAAAUGUAUAGUUGAAAUAUUAUUUUAUUUAUAAACGCAAAAUUACAAACAUAACUGUAAUCUAAAGCUUGUUAAAAGUUAAAAACAAAAAAACAUUUUAUUUUACUUAUAAAUUUUUACCAUUUUUUUAGUCAAUAGGUACUUAAAAUUCGUAACAUUUAACAUUAUUAUAAGAGUUUUUUUUAGUUACACGCAUAUAUCUAAAUAUAAAUGCAUAUCACACAUGAAAAUAUCACAUAUUAAAUGUUACAUAUAAACAUAUACUAACAGUAAGUGUUAACGCAUACAUGUUAUCCUAUGUAUAGUCAUGGAAAAAAUAAAAUUACUAUAUUAUUCA